rnacentral:rRNA from 1 species
GAGACAGCAGCCGCCGCGGUAAUACGGAGGGUGCAAGCGUUAUCCGGAUUUAUUGGGUUUAAAGGGUCCGUAGGCGGAUCUGUAAGUCAGUGGUGAAAUCUCACAGCUUAACUGUGAAACUGCCAUUGAUACUGCAGGUCUUGAGUAAAUUUGAAGUGGCUGGAAUAAGUAGUGUAGCGGUGAAAUGCAUAGAUAUUACUUAGAACACCAAUUGCGAAGGCAGGUCACUAAGAUUUAACUGACGCUGAUGGACGAAAGCGUGGGGAGCGAACAGGAUUAGAUACCCGCGUAGUCCCUGUCUCUUAUAC